CUGAAAAUUUGAUAACCAUAACCAUCUUCAGAAUUUUUUAUAAAAGUUUCUUUUUCAUUAUUUGGAGACUUGUUUUUAUAUAAAAAAACAUUCAAAAGAUUUGAGGACCAAGACUAAUUUUUCCUUGAGCUUUGCCUAAAUCUGAUUCUGCAUAUCAUAACAAAAGUUUAGAUUUUCAGUCAUGUGGUUCUUUGUUCUUGCUAAUUUUUUUUUGAAACUUUGUUCUUUGUUAACCACAUCAUGGCACUCUACUGGUUUCCAAUGAACAAAGAGCCGCUAUGUUGAUUUAGACCAGAGAUCGAUUCUCUUCUAAUGCGAAAUUGAUAAUUUUACUGUAACGACCCGGUUCACCCAAACCGGUGUGAUUCAUUUGUUAAUUAAUUGUACCAGACCAUUUCUUAAACCGUGCUAUAUAUGCAUGUGUAUAUAUCUCCUUCUCAAACCUAAUAAAAAAACGCAUCGUGGGUUAGAGAGAGAGCCGUCACGUUUUAUCACCACCAGCGCCAAUCUCUAAGGAUGUGAUCGGUUCAUCACCGGAGUGUCAGCUUGCAUUGUCGCAUCACCGUGCCAGCACCAUCGGGACCGUUGCCGUGAUCACCGGAGUUUGAUCCAGCCACCAUUAUCAAGCCGUGUCCCACCACCGGAGUCAUCAUCUUCACUAUCAACACCGGAGCCGUCGUCAUGCCACUGUCAUAAUCUUGUUGCAAUAGAUCCAUCGAUAUUACCAUGCUUUUGUUCAAUAACGUGAACAGGCGGAGACUAAGAAAGAGAGUGAAACCAGAUCCGUCAGCGUCUCGACACUACCAACACCGAUCAACACCAUUAUGAACCGUGAGCCACCUGAGUCACAGCUUCCGUCGACGGAGUCCGAGAAGCUUAAGCCGUGAGGAUGCAAUCAUGCAACUUUAGUGUUACUUGUAUUUCAAGUAAUUAAUUCUAAAGUUGGACUGAGUCUUGUUGGACGAGAUCUUGGAUCAUUUUUGUGAUUCAUCUCCAAUUUUGGCUAAGGUGAGGGUCUUUUCCCGAGCUUCUCUUACACGGCUUAGGACCUCGAAUAAGUAUAAUUUAUUUCUAAUGUGUUUCCGUUUGCGUGAAAUUGAGUCUGUCAUUGUUUUGCUUAGUUUUAGGUUCUUUGCUUAACCGGAACUAGGGUGUUAGAUGAUUCAACAAUGUUUGUUCAUUUGUAAUUGAUAAUAUAUAUAUAUAUAUAUAUAGUAUAUUGAUGUGAUUUGGUUGAUAGCCGACUAUGGAUAUUUCGGCUGGAGACAGUACAUUGGGUGUGGUGUUUGCUGCGGCACAGCGUAGUCGACCUGUUGUGCCAAGGCGUGGAGGUCGAUAAAUCGUCUACGGGCGUGUGUUACCGAGCACAUAUUCGGUGGUGUUUUGGCCUGUUAGUGGGCAGCUUGUUUGAUCUCUGGGUACUUUAGGUACCGUGUUUUGCAACGUGUUAGGAUUAAAUUAUAUUUAUUCGGAGUGCUCUGUCCGGGUCCAUGGACUUCGGGUUUAGUAUCCCCAUACCUCACUGGGUAACUCACCUGUUACUCACCCCUCAUUUGCCCCAUGCAGGUGAGACUGACGAGUAUAUGAUAUUUGGAUGGAUUGGUGCUACUGGGCUUUAUUUCGGAUUUUUAUUUGGGCUUAGGGUGAGUGGAGUCAUGUAUAUGGGUUAUUAUGCUAUGAGAUAUUGUUGGUGGCACGCUGUUCUCCAGAUAGGAGGUGACGGGUGUUACAAUUUGGUAUCAGAGCGGGGUUCCGUCCCGGCCUCGACCCGGGAUGGCGAUUAGGGGAUUCGGUUUUCUACGUUUUCUUUUUAAAGUAUAAAAUACUUUAUAUAUAUAUAUAUAUAAUAAAAAAAAAAUGUUUGCGAAGUUCUUUUAGCACCAUUCGAUCCAGUAAUUACUAACUCAAUUGUCUCUUUCUAUGACGAUGAGAAAAAUCAUCGUCAUUCAUCCUUCGGCUAACAGGGUUCUACACAGAUGUUCAGCAGCAGAUGUGUGAUGUCUCAGUUCGUCAGUUGUCUCAGGAGUGUUAUCAGUUCCUUCGGUCAUGAUUCUGAGAUUAUCCAGGAGUGGAUAUGUGACGUUUCUGUUCCACCCUACUUCAAGCAAUCGUUCCACGAGUUUUUGAUACUGGAGAUUAUGUGGUGUGACGUAUGAGCCAUUGGUUGGCAUGUGUUGUUUUUGUGUACGAGUAUGUUGACUAUUUUGGAGGUAUGUUCAGUUUGUAAACUCGUGGGGAUCGCUUUUGGAUUGGGAGUGCGGCAGCUUGCGUUGUAUUAAUACUGGAGUUACGCUUGGUUUUGUAUGCUAGUUUUUGGCAUUGUUAAUCGUUUCAAAGAUGUUUCAGUUCAAACAGCUGACAUGGGAUGUGAGAGCUAUUUAUAUUCAUCGCAAUGUACCAGUUAUGUUCGGAGGACUGAUUUGUUCGGAGACUCUUCAGAGAUGGAGCUACGUUUUUACGAUGUUAUCCAUGGGAUGGAUUGGCUACCAUGACAACGAGUAGAGUUGGAUUGCCUGAGGACAAGAGUUGAUAUUGCUGGAGCAGAUGAGAGGUUGUAUUGUCUACAUGCUACAUGCUGAGGAGUUAUUGGAUAUAGGAGUAAAUGGAUUUUUGGCGAACAUUUUGAUGGUUAAGGAUGAUGGACAUCAUGAGCUGCAGGAUUUUCAGUUAUUACAAAGUAUGAGGAUGUAUUUGAGGCUUUAAAAGGAUCACUGCCAGCUAGAGGAGACGUUCUUGCGAUCGAGUUGGAGUCAAGGACGACACCGGUUUCACGAUUUUCUAUACCAAUUAGCGCCAGCAGAGAUGACCGAGUGGAAAGAGCAUAUGAAAGAUUCAUCAAACAAGGGUUUUACAAGACCAAGUACUUCAUCGUGAGGAGCAUCAUUAUUAUUUGUGAAGAAGAAAGAUGAGAGUUUCAGAAUUUGUAUCGACUACAGAGGUCUGAACAAAGUGACCAAAGGAUAAGUAUUGUUUCCGCGUAUUGAUAAGUUGUUGGAUUACCUACAGGAGGUACAUAGUUCUUGAAGGUUGACUUGCAUCAGAAUACCAUCAGAUUGUUAUACCUGAGGAGUAUCUACCGAUGUGGAUUUUUGUAUAUGUUAUGGAUAUUAUGAGUUAUAAUGUUACCCAUUAGCUGUGGGCGGGUCGGGGCGUUAUAAGUAGCAUUCGUGAAGCUUAUGAGUGACGUUUUUGAGAACACUUAGAUAAGUGCGCAAUUGUAUUCAUCGACUACAUCCUGAUUCAUUCUCGGAGCAGAGAAGAGCAUGCUGAGCAUUUACAGAUUGUGUUAGGUAAGCUUGGAAAUCAUCAGUUGUUGCUAGCUGAGUAAGUGUAGUUUCUGGCAGAAAAAAAAAAUAGGAAGCUGUAACUACAUUGUGUCUAUAUCAGACUUGUUAGAUGGUUAAAGCAGAACAUCAAUUAUUUAUGGGAUUACUACACCAUCUACUUCUUCCAGAUUGGAAAUGAGAUAUGUUGAUUGUUGGUUUCCUCAUUGGACUAUGGAAGUCAAGUUUCAUGAAGAAUAAUGUAUGAUCGAUCAUGGACCGUCUCGCUAAGUUAAACUCGAAAGGGCAUCCUUGGGUUUUGUCCUUAGCUCACGGAGAAAAAAAAAAUUGAGAAAAACAUCUACCGCUGGAAUAGUUCAUGUACAACAACAAUUAUCACUGGAGCAUUCAUAUAUCACUUUCGGAGGCUUUUUAUGGAAGAUCAUUCAAACACAUGCUAGACCCGGGGAAGCACUAGGACGUAUAGCAACCAAUGGUUUAAUGGACGUUGAAGCAAAUAGACAAUGCUCAAUAACCACCUUAAGGAAGUUGAUGGCUAAAAAAAAAAAAAAAAAAAAAAUGCAGUUAAUGCUCGAGAGACUUGGAAGUUUAAUUGGAUAAUUUAGUGUACCUGAAAAUGAAGACAUUUCAGAGAGGAUCUAAGACUCGAGAGCUAAGGAAGCUUAAGCCAAGAUAUAUGAGACUGUACUUUAUUGUGGAGCAGAUUGGAGUUGUGGCUUAUAGAUUGCAGUUAUCAGCAGAGUUGUCAAACUUUCACGAUGAGUUCCAUGUGUCAGUAUUGAGGAAGGUUGUGCGAGGGCCAAAACUUAUUUUACAGCAGCCACCAAGUGAUCUUUAAAAAAAAAAAAAUUGUCUACACUCAUCGAGUCUGUGGAGAUUACAAAUCAACAAGUGGAAGCAGUUCAGAAAUGAUGACCCUAUUGAUCAAAGUUCAAUAAGAAAGAGAUAAUAUCCAAGAGGAAACUUGAGAGACCGAGUCUAAGAUGAGGAUUGAAUAUUGAAAUUUUAUUUUGGAAAAUAAAACUAGUAGACGAGUAUAGAGACUUGAAUUCGAGGACGAAUUCCAAUUAAGUGGGGAAGAAUUGUAACGACCCGGUUCACCCAAACCGGUGUGAUUCAUUUGUUAAUUAAUUGUACCAGACCAUUUCUUAAACCGUGCUAUAUAUGCAUGUGUAUAUAUCUCCUUCUCAAACCUAAUAAAAAAACGCAUCGUGGGUUAGAGAGAGAGCCGUCACGUUUUAUCACCACCAGCGCCAAUCUCUAAGGAUGUGAUCGGUUCAUCACCGGAGUGUCAGCUUGCAUUGUCGCAUCACCGUGCCAGCACCAUCGGGACCGUUGCCGUGAUCACCGGAGUUUGAUCCAGCCACCAUUAUCAAGCCGUGUCCCACCACCGGAGUCAUCAUCUUCACUAUCAACACCGGAGCCGUCGUCAUGCCACUGUCAUAAUCUUGUUGCAAUAGAUCCAUCGAUAUUACCAUGCUUUUGUUCAAUAACGUGAACAGGCGGAGACUAAGAAAGAGAGUGAAACCAGAUCCGUCAGCGUCUCGACACUACCAACACCGAUCAACACCAUUAUGAACCGUGAGCCACCUGAGUCACAGCUUCCGUCGACGGAGUCCGAGAAGCUUAAGCCGUGAGGAUGCAAUCAUGCAACUUUAGUGUUACUUGUAUUUCAAGUAAUUAAUUCUAAAGUUGGACUGAGUCUUGUUGGACGAGAUCUUGGAUCAUUUUUGUGAUUCAUCUCCAAUUUUGGCUAAGGUGAGGGUCUUUUCCCGAGCUUCUCUUACACGGCUUAGGACCUCGAAUAAGUAUAAUUUAUUUCUAAUGUGUUUCCGUUUGCGUGAAAUUGAGUCUGUCAUUGUUUUGCUUAGUUUUAGGUUCUUUGCUUAACCGGAACUAGGGUGUUAGAUGAUUCAACAAUGUUUGUUCAUUUGUAAUUGAUAAUAUAUAUAUAUAUAUAUAUAUAUAUAUAUAGUAUAUUGAUGUGAUUUGGUUGAUAGCCGACUAUGGAUAUUUCGGCUGGAGACAGUACAUUGGGUGUGGUGUUUGCUGCGGCACAGCGUAGUCGACCUGUUGUGCCAAGGCGUGGAGGUCGAUAAAUCGUCUACGGGCGUGUGUUACCGAGCACAUAUUCGGUGGUGUUUUGGCCUGUUAGUGGGCAGCUUGUUUGAUCUCUGGGUACUUUAGGUACCGUGUUUUGCAACGUGUUAGGAUUAAAUUAUAUUUAUUCGGAGUGCUCUGUCCGGGUCCAUGGACUUCGGGUUUAGUAUCCCCAUACCUCACUGGGUAACUCACCUGUUACUCACCCCUCAUUUGCCCCCAUGCAGGUGAGACUGACGAGUAUAUGAUAUUUGGAUGGAUUGGUGCUACUGGGCUUUAUUUCCGAUUUUUAUUUGGGCUUAGGGUGAGUGGAGUCAUGUAUAUGGGUUAUUAUGCUAUGAGAUAUUGUUGGUGGCACGCUGUUCUCCAUAGGGGUGGGCACUUUACCCGAUAUCCGAAGUGGCACCCGAACCCGAUCCGAAAAACCCGAACCGA